AUUAUUAUUUUGAUUGUCAGACUAAAGUAUUAUUAUUAUUGUUAUGGUUACUAUUAUUAUGUGGGUAGUGUAGUGUAGUUAUAUUAUAAGGUUUUAUUACGUGGAAAAUAGAGAGAGAGGCAGAGAGGCUCGGCAGAGAGAAGAAAGAAUCGCAGAGAGAUAGAGAGAGAAGAAGGAGGGAAAAGGACCACCCGAAACCAAAAGGGGAAUGAAGGAGGUUAUGCUUGGGUAGAACAGAACCAAGAAGAGUAGACGACGGUAACCCGAAGGCUACCAGCGUUGGAGAAAAGGUGGUUGGUUUUUGAUCCAAAACCCUAAGGACCCUUAACAGAGGAGUACGGACUGGAAAACAGAGGCUGAAGCUAGAGAAGACGACUUCCAGGUAGAGUCAGUUGGCUGGCGCAAAGAGUCAGCCGACCGAUUUAGGGAAAACAGCCAACCAAUUUAGGGGAGUCAGCCGACUGACUUAGAGGGUCAAUCGACUAAUUUCACCUGCUCCUUAUGUUCUUCUGUUAUUGUUUCCAGAUUUUUGUUUUGGUCCAUUUUAAUUUAACUAAUUGAUAUUAAUGAACAUGGUAUAUUCCCAGUAUGCAUAAUAUACUUUAAUAUGCAAAGAUAUGGGAGGGUAAUGGACUUUAAAUGAUUUAUAAGUUGUUUAUGUGGUUUAUAUAUAAUUGUUAUAAUUGAUUUAAUAAUUGCAACAGAUGGUAAUAGAAUUUUAAUCAUGCUUAUAACUGUAUUGAUGAUCUUGGAUAUGAUCUGUUUUACCUGUUUUGCCAUUGUUAGAUAUGGCUAUGUUGAGUUUAAUAAUUGUAUGAGAUGAGAUCAUUGAGAUAAUUAAUUAAUAAGCUAGGCUCUUUGAUAUUUACGCAAUUGUUAGAUAUGGCCUUGUUAAUUUGGUGAGUAGGUGGGCUGGCUAACAAGUCUAGACACAGUACAUCGUGUCAUUAUUAGAUAUGGUUCUGUUGAUGAUCUUAUUACAUUAUAUAUAUGUAUUACCUUGAUACGAGUUGAUUUGUGUCUUGGGAUUAGUGGUUGAGACUAAGGCGUAUAUUGUCGGAGAUAAGUAGCUAGAUAUAGGAGAUGUGUGAGCUCUGGUAGAGUGAGACUCUUAACCACCUUGUGUGUGAUUUUUUAUGAAAUAUCCACUAUCCGAUUAAAACUAUCCUAUAUUUCAGUGAGUGUCUUUAGUGUGUAUAUAUAUGUAUGGACUAUGCAGCUAUUGCAUGAGUUUGGUUAAGGAUGUAUCGCUUAUCGGUUCUCUGAUUGGAUCAUUAUAAAAAGGACUUGUUCGUGGGUUUUGACCCACCUUUGUUAUAUUUUUUAGGUCCUCGCUAGUACCAGUCUUAUAGGUCGUUCAUGUAGAUCAGAUUCCAGUAAUCAUCUUCACUCUUCCGGAUUUAUCGACGUAAGAUAUUACUUCAUGUUUUUAUUAUUCAGACUCAAAUAUUUAUUUAUUAUUAUUAGGGACCCAUGAUAUACAGAUUCCCGAGUUGUAUUAUGGAGAUUUGUUUACAGUUGGAUUUAAUAGAGUUAUGGUAUCAGAUGAGUUGAGGAUUAUUAAUUAUUAUUUUAAUUGUUCUUUUUAGCAUUAUUAUUUAUUUUUUUAUUUCCAUUUGUAUUAUGUGCUUGCUUUAAAUACUAAUUGUUUGAUAUCUCCCGAUCUUUGGGCGAGAACUUGAUCAAUCCGAACUUAAAAAUUAGGGAUAUCACAAUUUCUUUAUCGGACUCGGAUCGGAUCAAGCCUGAUCCAGUCCAAAUCUGAUCCGUUGACAGGUCUACUUAUUAAACAUAUAUAAAUAAGGGUUAAAAUUAUAAAAUUCUCCUUUACUUUCCAGCAACAUCAUAUAACUUUGUAAGGUGUAAGAAACCCCAUUACUAUAUAUAUAUAUAUAUAUAUAAAGUGCAAAAAUUACCCACGCUUUUUAAGAAAAUACUUAUAAAUUCCUAUAUUUUAAAAUUUUGUGCAAAUUGUCCCUGAUCAACAUUUUUGAUCAAUUUUUUUGUUAACACCCCAAAAUACCCUUAAGGGAAUUUUGGAUUUGUUUUAAUAAAUAAAAAAUUUUAAAACUAAAAAAUUGGGGUUUUUAUAAAAAAAAUUUAAACAUACCCUUAUUUAUUAUUAUUUAUUUAUCGAUAAAUUAAAUUUUUUUUAUUCUAAAUUUUAAAAUUUUAUUAUCUUAAAGGCAUAUUUCAGUCUUCAAAUUGAAGAAUUGUCCUUAUUUGCUCAAGUUGAAAAAUAUUAGAGAAUUUUUUAAACACCAAAUAAGUAUUUGCACAUCCUAUAUAUAGCAAAGGUUUCUUGCACUUUACAAAAAAAAAAAAAAAAAGUUGAGGAAGGAAACUGGGAAAGAGAUUUCUGAGAAGCCAUGAAGUUCCUCAUUGGAGUUCUAAUCGACAUUAUUGGAUACGGUGGAGAGAGACCAUUAAAUUAAGAACAAUUUAGUUCUUUUAAUUCUUGGAUCACUUACAUCAUUAUGAUAUCAUUUUUUAAAAUAUUAAAAUCAAUGGUUGUAUGAUAAAUUCACCAUCGAAGUUAACCAUUGAGGUCCGAGAAAUCCACCCAAAAUACUCCUUCCGUCUAAAAAAUAGUCUUUUGGGAACCAAAUUUAUCCAUAGUGGAUCUAUAAUGAUGUGAUAAUUUACUUUUUAUAACCAACGGCAAGUGACCUAGCGGUAUCAAUUUCUUACUUCUUUAAAUGAGGUCAGGAGUUCAAGUCUCAAUAGAAAUGUGUGUGUACUCAAAAAAAAAAAUUACUUUUUAUUAAUUCAAUGUAGAAAAGUUAAUAUUAUAAUAUACAAAAAAUAAUAAUAAAUAAAUAAGAGACUUAUUUUAAAACAACUGAAAAAAAACUAUAUUUUGAGAAAUGGAGUAAUUAAAAAUAGAGUAAAGUGCACUAAAUCCCUCUAAACUAUAACCCAAUUGCAGGAAACCUUUAAAGUAAGCAAAACUUCCUACACUAUCAAUUUGUUGUACUAAGUGACUAACCGUGAAACAUACAGGAAAAUUGAAGUUACCUUUUGGCCCCUUAAUUGAACGACAUUGUCUAAGUCAGGGUUUUUUAAUCAGAUGAUGAUGUGGCAUUGUAAUCUGUAGGACUAAUAAGGAAGUGACACGUACCCACCUAACCUUGUCAAUAACAUCGGUUGUAUCAAAUGGGCGCCGAACGUAUCAUUCUCUCGUGCCAAAACAUCCCAAGCGCUUAACAAUAUUUCAAACAAGUCAUAUGUACACCGUUGACUCGUCUCAAAAUUCCAGUAAUUUUCCAUCCCCCUUGAUUCUAAUUUUUCUCUCUCUCAACCCUGAUUGCUGAGUGUGUACUAGCUCGUGAAGAGAUCGCCUAGCGUCGACGAACUCGGCUUGUGGUUGAAAUUGUGCUAUGGACGUUUUUCUUCAUCGACGACCAUUUCUGGACUGUCGGCGAGGAGUUGUUGUCAUGACUGUGCCUUCGUCGCGAACCAGUGUGCAGAUCGGAAAUUUGCAGAGAUCGACGGUGCUGUGUAGCCCACCGAUGACCUCUCCGUUUGCUGACGCCGGUGGCUGUCGUGUGUAUUCGCCGUUGUGACUGAUUUUGUGGUUGGUGGCUUCGUUUGAAACUGAGUGUGGUUCUUUGCUGUAGCUAAGAGAUUUGCAGGGGCUUCACCGUCGUCCCUUGGCUGUGAAUUGAUUUGUGGUGGUCUCGAUUCUCCAUUCUGGAUCUCAGAUCCUUGUUUUUUUUUCUUUUUUUUUUUUUUUU